GCGCCCCGCGGGCGCCACGUUAGGGUCCCCUGCGGCCCUUACGCGACCGCAUUCCGGUCCCGGUCCCCGCGGGACCGCGGCAGCUGUCCCGGGCCCUGGGUCUUUGCACACCUGCCCCUACCAGGGACGGCUCUAGAGCCAGCCUCUCGGACUGCAGCCCUGGGGAAGGGGACCCCCCCCCCUCCCGCCGCGCGUCCCAGUUGCUCCGAGGGAGGUGGCCCCGGGCAGACGAGCGUUUUUGUUGUGGGAAUGGGGGUCACUGGCAGCAGAUGCACCCUAAGACCGUGUGGGCAGGCUGAGCGUUCCU
rnacentral:lncRNA from 1 species